CCCUUAGAUGUUCUGGGCAGCACGCGCGCUACAAUGGUCUUCGCAAACGGAUGCAUUCUCGAAGGAGAAUGCCAAUGUUGGAAUCUAUGCCUUGGUCGGGACAGUUGCUUGCAAUUUUUCGACUCGAACCAGGAAUUCCUUGUAAUCGUGAUUCAUCACAUCACGAUGAAUACGUCCCUGCCCUUUGUACACACCGCCCGUCGCUCCUACCGAUCGAAGAGUUAGGUGAAUUGUUUUGAUCGAUAAGAUUUGACUAUGGUCAACUCUCGUUGUGAAAUUCUGUGAAUCUGACUGUUUAGAGGAAGGAAAAGUCGUAACA
rnacentral:rRNA from 1 species